UUUAAACUUAAAUUUUUGAUCUUUGGAGGAAAUUCCUGCAUUGCCAUUAGGGAAACGUCAAACGAAAUCAGCAGUUCUAGAAUGAUGAAUGUUUGAGUUACCCUAGUAAGUUCACUGGAUUUGGGGGUAGGAGGAUGAGGCAGAGAGGAAGGUGUUCAGAGUGUCUUUCAGAUUUGGGGAUUAGAUAACUAGGUGUGACACUAGGAACUAUUUCAUACUGAGAUGGGGAAGAGAAGAAUUAUGCAUAUGGGAAUAAUAAGAAGUGAAAGAACUAGCAUUUGUAGCAUCUCCCAAGUACUGGGCAUUGUGCUAGGCACUUUGUAUACAGAGUAACUCAUUUCACUGUCAUAACUACCCUUCGGGUUUUACUCUCUCUGUUUUUAGAGAUCUGUGAAAAUUUUUAAAGGUGUGUGUUUUGCCAUAUAUGCAAGUGAAUCAACUUGCCAGAUAAGAGUUUGCUGCAUAAAUAUGAUUACUAGGAAAGCCAAGUCUCUCCUCCUGGAUGUCUUCUCCUGUAAACUGCCUAUUGAGACCUACCCACUUCUCUAUGGAGCAUAGAUGAAGGAUAUUGGUCAUCAUCUAGUACAACGUCUGCAAUGGAACAGGCAAGCUGUGAAUAUUUGUGAUAUGCUUGGGUGGACUAAAGACCCAUCGCCUCUCUCUAGAGUGCCCAGCAUGUUGGAGCAUGUGAAGCACUAUAUGAGCUGCUGAGGAUACAGGGAUAAACAACAACACAGGUGUGUUCUUUGCCCAAACCAGGCAUAAAUGAGCUUCCAAAUGAACACAAACAAAUCUGGAAGGCUUUUGAGGAAGAAGGACCAUUACAAAAGGAAACAAGAAACCAAGAAUUGGACGAAUUGUCUGGGCUCAGUGGCUCACGCCCGCAAUCCCUGCACUUUGGGAGGCCGAGGAAGGAGGAUUACCUGAGGUCAGGAGUU